rnacentral:rRNA from 1 species
AACUUUCAACAACGGAUCUCUUGGUUCUGGCAUCGAUGAAAAACGCAGCGAAAUGCGAUAAGUAAUGUGAAUUGCAAAAUUCAGUGAAUCAUCGAAUCUUUGAACGCACAUUGCGCCCGCUGGAAUUCCAGCGGGCAUGCCUGUUCGAGCGUCAUUU